AUGGAAGUUGGGAUACAGGAGGUUAGUUGGGGUUCCUAUGAGAUGAUGGAAGUUGGGGUACAGGAGGUUAGUUGGGGUAUUUAUGAGAUGAUGGAAGUUGGGUACAGAAUGUUAGUUGGGGUAUUUAUGAGAUGAUGGAAGUUGGGGUCCCUGUGAGAUGAUAGCAGUGGGGGUACAGGAUAGAAGUUCGGGUAUUUAUGAGAUGAUAGCAGUGGGGUACAGGAUGUUAGUUGGGGUUCCUGUGAGGUGAUGGCAGUGAGGAUCCCUGUGAGAUGAUAUUAGUUGGGGUCCCUGUGAGAUGAUGGAAGUUGGGGUACAGGAUGUCAGUUGGGGUUCCUAUGAGAUGAUGGAAGUUGGGGUACAGGAGGUUAGUUGGGGUCCCUGUGAGAUGAUGGAAGUUGGGGUACAGGAGGUUAGUUGGGGUCCCUGAGAGAUGAUGUCAGUUGGGGUUCCUAUGAGAUGAUGGAAGUUGAGGUACAGGAGGUUAGUUGGGGUAUUUAUGAGAUGAUGGCAGUUGGGGUACAGGAUGUUAGUUGGGGUCCCUCACCCUGAGAGAUGAUGGAAGUUGGGGUACAUGAGGUUAGUGGGGGUCCCUGUGAGAUGAUGUCAGUUGGGGUACAGGAUGUUAGUUGGGGUCCCUCACCCUGAGAGAUGAUGGAAGUUGGGGUACAUGAGGUUAGUGGGGGUAUUUAUGAGAUGAUGUCAGUUGGGGUACAGGAUAUAAGCCGGUAUUAAUGGCUGGCCAUGGAAGUUGUAUCCGGUUAAAUCCUCUUGUUUCCUCUAUGGUCCCUGCUAUGCCCUGGCUCCCGGAUUCUCCUGCCCUCAGAUCCUGGGGUGCCCGGCUCCCGGGGUCCCGUCCUGUCCGGUGCACAGAGCAGCAGGUGCACAGCACGGAGUAUGUCUGAGGGCAG